GAUGGUGAGAAAAAAGUACAUUGGAUUUCAUGGCAAAAGAUGUGCACCUCGAAAAGGGAUGGAGGUAUUGGCUUCCGCGACCUGAUAGCGUUUAAUCAGGCUCUUCUUGCAAAGCAAGCCUGGCGUGUCUUACAAUACCCGGAGGCGUUAGUGGCAAGAGUGCUCAAGGCUCGCUACUUCAAGGAGGAAUCCAUUUUGAGCGCAACGUGUCCUGCUACAGCCUCAUACACUUACAGAAGUAUUAUGCAUGGCCGGGAUUUACUUCGCGAAGGCCUGGUGUGGAGAAUUGGAGACGGCUCCAAGGUGAAUAUACACCACAGUAACUGCAUCCCAAGAGGCGGGUCCAUGAAGCCGUUGGGACAGACGUAUAUUCCUGGCGUGACGAAGGUGGCCGAUCUCCUGUUGCCUGGAAUCGCGACCGGGUCAGGGAAAUGUUCACCCCGGAUGAUGCUAGCGACAUUUUGCAGAUUGUGGUGGGUGGUUUGGGUGCUGAUGACUACCAAACUUGGAAUUUCACAAAGAAUGGAAUCUUCUCUGUACGCUCAGCUUAUCACUUGA
rnacentral:rRNA from 1 species